AUUAAAUACAACUGCAUCUAUAUGCAUGUUAUUCAAAGAAAUUUAAAAAAUAAUAUUUCACUUUUUAUCUAAUAAUCUGAUUGAGAAUACCUAGUAUAUCUGAUAAAUUUCACUUUCAUAUAUAUACUAUAAAUAUAGUAGUAUAUAAAUAAAAAAAAAAUCAUCAAUAUUUGACUGCAUAACAUCAUAUAAAGCUAACACCAAUGGUACAAGUCAUUACAUGUUAUGUGUUAAACAUGCACCAAGGAUCAGUGACCUGCAUGGCUAACACAACCAGCCAAAUGCUAAGAAUAAACAGGACUGAACUGCCGUUUACCACCACAGUUUCUGCCUAAAUACAACAUUCUGUAAUACAUGUACUAUGAACAAGCGCACUCAAGGGCAGUCAUUGAUCUAAUGGUCAAAAGACUUGACUGUAUACACAGUACGGUAAUACCCCUAUCGUCUUUGUACAUUUGUAUACGUUGCGUAUAUCCCUAUUAAUAAUUAUCUGUGGUCACUUUCAGAGGACCUUGGAAUAUAUAUUAGAUAUUGCAGAGACAAUGUAUGUCCAAGAAAUCAUUUAAGUUCAUACAGCAGUCACAUUUAUCUGAGAUAUGGAAUCCGGAAACAGUUUUCACAGCUGUAACAAUGACAUCUAUGGGGAGUCUGAAUGGAAAACCCCAGUUGGUGAUGAACUCAAGGACACGCCAUCUGUAAACAAAGAAUCAAUUUACAAGGGAGACUACCGAGAAUGUACACGCACCCGAGUGAAUCAUCUUUGCCUCUCCCUCAUGAUCCUUUCUGUUGUUUAGUUUUUUUGGAUUGGAUGGCGUACUUUAUAAAGGUUAAAGAAUGAAAAAUGCCAGGAAUGUUUUUUACUGAUCUUUAUCAACGCAUGAAAGUAUCGUAAUAUGAGAUAUAUAAGGGGCCUAUAUGUAAAAUGAAUUGAUAAAGUAUCAAAUUCAAGUGCAAGAAAUUCUAUAAUUAAAUUGCAUAAUUGUAUUGAUCAUGUACUUCAUGUUCAUAUGUACAUACAUACAUGUAUAUCAGCAGGUUAUAUCUUCUUCCUUUUUAUUUAACCAUCUUUUUUAAAUUCUUUGAAUAAAAAAACGCAAUAUAAAA